rnacentral:rRNA from 1 species
CAAGUCGAACGCGACUUAGGCUUCGGUCUAAGUUGAGUGGCGAACGGGUGAGUAACACGUGGGUGACCUACCUUCGAGUGGGGGAUAACGUCCCGAAAGGGACGCUAAUACCGUAUAACAUCCUGCCUUUGAACAGGUGGAGAUCAAAGCCGGGGAUCGCAAGACCUGGCGCUUGAUGAGGGGCCCGCGCCUGAUUAGCUAGUUGGUGGGGUAAUGGCUCACCAAGGCGACGAUCAGUAUCCGGCCUGAGAGGGCGGACGGACACACUGGGACUGAGACACGGCCCAGACUCCUACGGGAGGCAGCAGUGGGGAAUUGUUCGCAAUGGGCGCAAGCCUGACGACGCAACGCCGCGUGGAGGAUGAAGGUCUUCGGAUUGUAAACUCCUGUUGCUCGGGACGAAAAGCUUCGACCUAACACGUCGAGGUCUGACGGUACCGAGUGAGGAAGCCCCGGCUAACUCUGUGCCAGCAGCCGCGGUAAUACAGAGGGGGCAAGCGUUGUUCGGAAUUACUGGGCGUAAAGGGCGCGUAGGCGGCCUGCUAAGUCNAACGUGAAAUCCCUGGGCUCAACCCAGGAACUGCGUCCGAUACUGGUUGGCUUGAAUCCGGGAGAGGGACGUGGAAUUCCAGGUGUAGCGGUGAAAUGCGUAGAUAUCUGGAGGAACACCGGUGGCGAAGGCGACGUCCUGGACCGGCAUUGACGCUGAGGCGCGAAAGCCAGGGGAGCAAACGGGAUUAGAUACCCCGGUAGUCCUGGCCCUAAACGAUGAAUGCUUGGUGUGGCGGGUAUCGAUCCCUGCCGUGCCGAAGCUAACGCAUUAAGCAUUCCGCCUGGGGA